rnacentral:rRNA from 1 species
AUUGAACGCUGGCGGCAUGCUUUACACAUGCAAGUCGAACGGCAGCGCGGGCUUCGGCCUGGCGGCGAGUGGCGAACGGGUGAGUAAUACAUCGGAACGUGCCCAGUAGUGGGGGAUAGCUCGGCGAAAGCCGGAUUAAUACCGCAUACGACCUGAGGGUGAAGGCGGGGGAUCUUCGGACCUCGCGCUAUUGGAGCGGCCGAGGGCAGAUUAGCUAGUUGGUGGGGUAAAGGCCUACCAAGGCGACGAUCUGUAGCUGGUCUGAGAGGACGACCAGCCACACUGGGACUGAGACACGGCCCAGACUCCUACGGGAGGCAGCAGUGGGGAAUUUUGGACAAUGGGCGAAAGCCUGAUCCAGCAAUGCCGCGUGUGUGAUGAAGGCCUUCGGGUUGUAAAGCACUUUUGGCGGGAACGAAAAGGACUGUGCCAAUACCACGGUUCGAUGACGGUACCCGCAGAAUAAGCACCGGCUAACUACGUG